GGAAGGUCCGGGCGUUAUCCGGAUUUAUUGGGUUUAAAGGGAGCGUAGGCCGGAGAUUAAGCGUGUUGUGAAACGUAGACGCUCAACGUCUGCACUGCAGCGCGAACUGGUUUCCUUGAGUACGCAUAAAGUGGGCGGAAUUCGUGGUGUAGCGGUGAAAUGCUUAGAUAUCACGAAGAACUCCGAUUGCGAAGGCAGCUCACUGGGGCGCAACUGACGCUGAAGCUNNNAAGCGCGGGUAUCGAACAGGAUUAGAUACCCUGGUAGUCCGCGCGGUAAACGAUGGAUGCCCGCUGUUGGGCCAACUGGUUCAGCGGCCAAGCGAAAGCAUUAAGCAUCCCACCUGGGGAGU
rnacentral:rRNA from 1 species